ensembl:antisense AU040972 expressed sequence AU040972
CUCACGGUGCCUGCCAUGAAGAUGAAGCUGUUACUACAACACAGCCCUAUUUCCCUGGAAAACACUGACUUCAGCUCGUGAGAGAGUUAGAGUCAACCCAAUGAAGCAAUCCAUUUGGGUGCAUGCAGGAAGAUUAAAUGCAGUGAGGUAUUCACUGGAUCCUUUAAAUGUUUGGAAACGCUCCUUCCGAUACUUCCAAAGAGGCGAGGCUCCAAGCACGUGACUGGCUCCUAGCUAUAUUAUUCUCGUAAUCUGUUAAUUUCAUUUAUCAUUUAGCCAAGAGUGAGAAGAGACUUCCCUUCAGGAUCAUUCUCCAGGACCCAAGACAAAGGCUGAAUUCAUAAUCUUCAAAACUAGUCUGCUAAAUCAAAAGCAAAAGAAAACGAUGACCAAGCAUUCCUUCACUGUCACCCUGCUCCUCAUGUGUGCUCAUAUUAUGGGAACAAUUUCAACAACAAUAGCAGCAACAGCAGCAACAACAAUAACAAAUACCACCUCAAAUUCUACAAAAAACUUGAGUCUUGGGAUGACCACAACCACAACCACAACCACAACAACUACCACCUCAAAUUCUACAAGAAACCCAAGUCCUGGAAUGCUCUCGUCUUCCUCCAGGAGCCCACAGGCCAUAUCAAGACCAAGCCUCAAUCCUGGGACAAAGCCCUCGGAGCUCAUCUCCAAGAGCACCUGGCAAGGAAACAUGUCAUCAAGUCCCUGCAUAAACACGACUGCAGGGACUGCGGCAGGCGGGAGCACGGCACUCAGACCAGUCUUCAACAUUCACUCCCGUUUUCUGUGCAGUAUUUUUACUCUUUUGUCCAUACUCAGGCAGAAAUGAGCCCAAAUGCCUGCUCACUUCAGCACCUCAUAUUAUUUACUAAAUGACAAGCACACUAAGAAAAUAAAAUUUAUAUUAAUUUACUGUGGAAGAAAUUAUUAUUCUAGUAAGAUUUGGGUUUGGGCAAGUUUUGUCACUCCCCACCCCUCCUGAGCUGAGAACCAAAUCCAAGGCCUUGCACUUGCUAGGCAAGCACUCUACCACUGAGCUAAAUCCCCAACCC